UCGGCUCAGGUCCGCCCUCUGCUAAAACUCCUGCGCGCAGGUCCGGUUCGCUCCGGGCCCGUCUCCCUUCGGUGAGAUGUCCCUGGCGCC
rnacentral:sRNA from 1 species